GAUGAACGCUGGCGGCGUGCUUAACACAUGCAAGUCGAACGGUGAAGCAGGAGCUUGCUCCUGUGGAUCAGUGGCGAACGGGCGAGUAGCACGUGAGCAAUCUGCCCUGGACUCUGGGAUAAGCGUUGGAAACGACGUCUAAUACCGGAUACGAGGCGUGGGGGCAUCCCCAACGCCUGGAAAGAACUUCGGUCCAGGAUGAGCUCGCGGCCUAUCAGGUAGUUGGUGAGGUAACGGCUCACCAAGCCUACGACGGGUAGCCGGCCUGAGAGGGUGACCGGCCACACUGGGACUGGGACACGGCCCAGACUCCUACGGGAGGCAGCAGUGGGGAAUAUUGCACAAUGGGCGCAAGCCUGAUGCAGCAACGCCGCGUGAGGGACGACGGCCUUCGGGUUGUAAACCUCUUUUAGCAGGGAAGAAGCGAAAGUGACGGUACCUGCAGAAAAAGCACCGGCUAACUUCGUGCCAGCCGCCGCGGUAAAAC
rnacentral:rRNA from 1 species